rnacentral:rRNA from 1 species
UGAAUACGAGACGCUAAGGCGUCGAAGUAGUGUAUGUCAUACUUCCAAGAAAAGCUUGCACUGUCAUAAGUAAAAAAUGCCUGUACCAUAACCGACACAGGUGGGUAGGUAGAGUAUACUAAGGGGCGCGAGAUAACUCUCUCUAAGGAACUCGGCAAAAUAACUCCGUAACUUCGGGAGAAGGAGUACCUUAUUCUAUAAGGUUGCAAUAACAAGAUCCAAGCAACUGUUUAUCAAAACACAGGUCUCCGCUAAGUCGUAAGACGAUGUAUGGGGGCUGACGCCUGCCCAGUGCCAGAAGGUUAAAGAAGUCGGUUAGCAUUAGCGAAGCUGGUAACUGAAGCCCUGGUGAACGGCGGCCGUAACAAUAUCGGUCCUAAGGUAGCGAAAUUCCUUGUCGGGUAAGUUCCGACCCGCACGAAAGGCGCAAUGAUUUGGAUACUGUCUCGGAGAGGGGCUCGGUGAAAUAGACUUGUCUGUGAAGAUGCGGACUACCUGCACCAGGACAGAAAGACCCUAUGAAGCUUUACUGUAACUUGAAAUUGAAAUUGGACUUUAUUCGCGCAGUAUAGGUGGGAGGUGUUGAUUAUAAUCUUGCGGGAUUAUUGGAGCCAUCAGUGAGAUACCACUCUUGUAAUGUUAGAUUUCUAACUUUGAAUCAUUAUCUGGUCAAGGGACAGUUUCAGGCGGGCAGUUUGACUGGGGCGGUCGCCUCCCAAACGGUAACGGAGGCGUACAAAGGUUUCCUCUGAACGGGUAGAAAUCGUAUCUAGAGUGUAAAGGCAUAAGUAAGCUUGACUGUGAGACCUACAAGUCGAACAGGGACGAAAGUCGGUCUUAGUGAUCUGACGGUACUGAGUGGAAAGGCCGUCACUCAACGGAUAAAAGUUACUCUAGGAUAACAGGCUGAUCUCCCCCAAGAGUUCACAUCGACGGGGAGGUUUGGCACCUCGAUGUCGGCUCAUCGCAUCCUGGGGCGGUAGUACGUCCCAAGGGUUGGGCUGUUCGCCCAUGAAAGCGGUACGCGAGCUGGGUUCAGAACGUCGUGAGACAGUUCGGUCCAUAUCCGGUGUAGGCGUUAGAAUAUUGAGAGGAGCCUUCUUUAGUACGAGAGGACCGAGAAGGACAUACCUCUGGUGUACCAGUUAUCGUGCCAACGGUAAACGCUGGGUAGCUAUGUAUGGAGUGGAUAACCGCUGAAAGCAUCUAAGUGGGAAGCCCACCUCAAGAUAAGUAUUCCC